AGAUUUGCUAAGACAAAGAUUAAUUUGUAACUGUGAUGCCAUUCCUGUGAUUGAUUUCAGAUUAUACAUUCUAUUUACACAUCCAUGGAAAGUGUUUUGUGACAUCCUGAGGUUGUGAAAGGCACCGUACAAAUGAACUAGUCAACAAUGGUACCUCUUUCAUGCUUCGUGUGGGUAUUGUACGCUAUUCCAGCAGGAUGGCCACACACAGUUAAACUCAAUGCCAUCAGCUCGUGAGUCUGCGGACACCCAUCAGGAGCAGCAGCAAUCCACACCAAUUUAUUUUUAUUAUUUUUGCCUAUGUAGCCCAGAGAUCGAGAGAUAAAUUCCAAUACCCUCCUUGAUGCCCAAACUAACUGGGCACAGACCAUGUAACAAACCUGAAUCUUGCUGUUCUUUAUUAUCACAUAAUAUGCCAACUUCAUAGUGGUGAUGUGUUUAUGCAUUAAGCCAUUUGUAACAUCGAAUUCAGUCUAUUUUGUUGGUCAUUUGUGCUUGAGACUGAAAUGAUCCAAUACAGUUUUACAAUUUCAAAAUUAAUGCAUUUAUUGUCACUUUUAUUGAACAUGUCCAAUAAUGAAAUGCUAUGGUUAAUGUGCUAAUUAAAAUGUAUUAACAAAAGCCAAAAA